GUGCCCGCUUCGGCAGCACAUAUAUUAAAAUUGGAAUGAUACAGAGAAGAUUAGCAUGGCCCCUGUGCAAGGAUGACAACCAAAUUCGUGAAGCAUUCCAUAUUUUU
rnacentral:snRNA from 1 species